rnacentral:rRNA from 1 species
UGAUGACCCAACAGAGUUAACUUAAUCUGAACCUCCUCUGUUUCCGCUAUAUAUCCCUAUUUUUCUGAACUUAACAACCGAACAGCAUUAUAUAUUAGAUCAGCACACAAGUGAACUGGAAAUCAUUUUAUUCAGAUUGUUGGUACCCUCAGUGUAAAAUUAUUCCUUAUUGGUUGGGGAUUUGGAGACGUAGUAUCUGGUUGAUGAAGGAUUUUUUUAUCUCCUAAGCUCCACACAUUCUCUUCCAUCUAACACAACCGGCACGGUCAAGUGGUGUAGCAGUUGACGGUCGACAGCUAAAAUCAAGGCACCGCCUUAAUUUAGGCGGAAAGACCACAGCUCUUCCAUCUACACCAG